rnacentral:rRNA from 1 species
AUUGAACGCUGGCGGCAGGCCUAACCCAUGCAAGUCGGACGAGUGGCGGACGGGUGAGUCAUGUCUGGGAAACUGCCUGAUGGAGGGGGAUAACUACUGGAAAAGGUAGCUAAUACAGCAUACCAUCAGAUGUGCCCAGAUGGGAUUAGCUAGUUGGUGGGGUAACGGCUCACAAAGGCGACGAUCCCUCGCUGGUCUGAGAGGAUGACCAGCCAAACUGGAACUGAGACACGGUCCAGAUGCCUACGGUAGGCAGCAGUUGGGAAUAUUGCACAAUGGGCGCUAGCCUGAUGCAGCCAUGCCGCGUGUAUGAAGAAGGCCUUCGGGUUGUAAAGUACUUUCAGCGGGGAGGCGUUACCCGCAGAAGAAGCACCGGCUGACUCCGUGCCAGCAGCAGCGGUAAUUC